rnacentral:rRNA from 1 species
UACGUAGGGGGGCAAGCGUUGUCCGGAUUUAUUGGGCGUAAAGAGCUUGUAGGCGGUCUGUCGCGUCUGCUGUGAAAAUCCGGGGCUCAACCCCGGACUUGCAGUGGGUACGGGCAGACUAGAGUGUGGUAGGGGAGACUGGAAUUCCUGGUGUAGCGGUGAAAUGCGCAGAUAUCAGGAGGAACACCGAUGGCGAAGGCAGGUCUCUGGGCCACUACUGACGCUGAGAAGCGAAAGCAUGGGGAGCGAACAGG